ACAAAUGCCUGAGCAUGGAGCGUUGUCAUUGGCUGAUCUUGGGCCAAUCAACGGCCGCCUUCCCGACCCUUCCGCACACUCGCGGAGUGUGAUUUCGGGCACACAAACCCUAGCAGCGGAACACGAGGCGCUGCUGAUCUCAAGCUUUGUGGCCCCUGCUGACCCUCAGCACCUGCCACUGACCUCUGUGCUGUGCGCAAAAGGAUCUCCCAGAUGUAGAGGGACUUGACAUCUGCAGCUGCUGUCUACACAACCCUCGUGGUGUCUCCUGAAGUUACCCACCAUGCGCGAGUACAAGCUAGUGGUGCUGGGUUCAGGAGGCGUGGGAAAAUCUGCACUGACAGUCCAGUUUGUGCAAGGAAUUUUUGUGGAAAAGUACGACCCGACAAUAGAGGACUCCUACAGAAAGCAAGUGGAAGUGGACGGGCAGCAAUGCAUGCUCGAGAUCUUGGACACGGCUGGAACAGAGCAGUUCACGGCCAUGAGGGACCUUUACAUGAAGAACGGCCAGGGUUUCGCUCUGGUCUACUCCAUCACGGCACAGUCGACGUUUAAUGAUCUGCAGGACCUCCGGGAGCAAAUCCUGCGAGUGAAGGACACGGAGGAUGUCCCCAUGAUCCUGGUGGGAAAUAAGUGUGACCUGGAGGACGAGCGUGUGGUGGGCAAGGAGCAGGGUCGGAACUUGGCCCGUCAGUGGAGUAAUGUCGCCUUUUUAGAGACGUCGGCGAAGUCAAAGAUCAAUGUGAAUGAAAUUUUCUAUGACCUGGUGCGACAAAUCAACAGAAAAGCACCGAUGGAAAGGAAGCCAAAAAAGAAGAAGGGCUGCACACUUCUCUAAGAACCGCCACACAGACACACGCACACACGCACACAAAUCCGGGCUCCGGGCUCCGGGCUCCGGGCCAGACCUGUCUGUUCGUGGACCCUGCCAACAUUCCGAGUCCUCUCUGAAAGCUGAAACAUGGCGGGAGUCGCCAUGUUUGGAAAUCCUGCUCUCCAAAAAACAAAACAAAAAAAAAAGUUGUUUCACCGCAUCAUCAUAGUUACUUUUAGUGAUCGAAAGAGAACCAUGUUUGGGAUUUAAAGUGUACUGUCAAAACUCAAUGUAGUUAAACGUUGGCCUUACAUUUGUGCACUAACAGUGACGACGACGACGCGUCCUUGCUCUCGACUUACUCUCCUACUUUGCUAACCUAUUUCCUAAGUGACUUGGUUUUAUAAUGAGCCGAAAGCCUUCUAAUAUAUUCAAGUCAUGUUUUGGCAUAAAGUUGAGGACGUAACUGUUUUAUAGAGGGUGCCUUUGUGAUUUUACUAGACCACCUCCAAUAUUGCUUCUUGUGUCUCUUGUCAGAUGGCUUUUCCAGCUUUUAUGAAAUGAUACAAAUUGAGUAUGUUUGAACUAUUUUCUGUCCUGAUGAUUAAAAAUGACUUGUUUGUUA